CACGUAGGGCGCAAGCGUUGUCCGGAAUUAUUGGGCGUAAAGAGCUCGUAGGCGGACUGUCACGUCCGCUGUGAAAAGCUAGGGCUUAACCCUGGCCUUGCAGUGGAUACGGGCAGACUAGAGGUAGGUAGGGGAGAAUGGAAUUCCCGGUGUAGCGGUGAAAUGCGUAGAGAUCAUGAGGAAGACCAGUGGCGAAGGCGGGUCUCUGGACAGUUCCUGACACUGAGGCACGAAGGCCAGGGGAGCAAACGGG
rnacentral:rRNA from 1 species